rnacentral:rRNA from 1 species
CCUACGGGAGGCAGCAGUAGGGAAUAUUGCGCAAUGGGGGAAACCCUGACGCAGCAACGCCGCGUGGAGGAUGAAGGUCUUCGGAUUGUAAACUUCUGUUGUUAGAGAAGAUCACUACGGUAUCUAACGAAUAAUCACCGGCUAACUCCGUGCCAGCAGCCGCGGUAAUACUGAGGGUGCAAGCGUUACUCGGAAUCACUGGGCGUAACGCGCGCGUAGGCGGGAUAGCAAGUCAGAGGUGAAAUCCUAGGGCUUAACCAUGGAACUGCAUUUGAAACUGUUAUUCUAGAGUAUGGGAGAGGUAAGUGGAAUUCUUGGUGUAGGGGUGGAAUCCGUAGAGAUCAAGAGGAAUACU